UGGCCCAACCUCCCACCCGUGACUAUUGUACCUUGUUGCUUCGGCGGGCCCGCCAGCGUUUGCUGGCCGCCGGGGGGCGACUCGCCCCCGGGCCCGUGCCCGCCGGAGACCCCAACAUGAACCCUGUUCUGAAAGCUUGCAGUCUGAGUGUGAUUCUUUGCAAUCAGUUAAAACUUUCAACAAUGGAUCUCUUGGUUCCGGCAUCGAUGAAGAACGCAGCGAAAUGCGAUAACUAAUGUGAAUUGCAGAAUUCAGUGAAUCAUCGAGUCUUUGAACGCACAUUGCGCCCCCUGGUAUUCCGGGGGGCAUGCCUGUCCGAGCGUCAUUGCUGCCCUCAAGCCCGGCUUGUGUGUUGGGCCCUCGUCCCCCGGCUCCCGGGGGACGGGCCCGAAAGGCAGCGGCGGCACCGCGUCCGGUCCUCGAGCGUAUGGGGCUUCGUCUUCCGCUCCGUAGGCCCGGCCGGCGCCCGCCGACGCAUUUAUUUGCAACUUGUUUUUUUCCAGGUUGACCUCGGAUCAGGUAGGGAUACCCGCUGAACUUAAGCAUAUCAAUAGCAGGGAGGAUACCGAGUGCGGGUCUUUAUGGCCCAACCUCCCACCCGUGACUAUAGUACCUUGUUGCUACGGCGGGCCCGCCGCGUUUUGCUGGCCGCCGGGGGGCGACUCGCCCCGGGCCUG
rnacentral:rRNA from 1 species